GACGAACGCUGGCGGCGUGCUUAACACAUGCCAGUCGAACGGAAAGGCCCUGCUUUUGGGGUGUGCUCGAGUGGAGAACGGGUGAGUAACACGUGAGUAACCUGCCCUUGACUUUGGGAUAACUUCAGGAAACUGGGGCUAAUACCGGAUAGGAGCUCCUGCUGCAUGGUGGGGGUUGGAAAGUUUUGGCGGUGGGGGAUGGACUCGCGGCUUAUCAGCUUGUUGGUGGGGUAGUGGCUUACCAAGGCUUUGACGGGUAGCCGGCCCGAGAGGGUGACCGGCCACAUUGGGACUGAGAUACGGCCCAGACUCCUACGGGAGGCAGCAGUGGGGAAUAUUGCACAAUGGGCGGAAGCCUGAUGCAGCAACGCCGCGUGCGGGAUGACGGCCUUCGGGUUGUAAACCGCUUUCGCCUGUGACGAAGCGUGAGUGACGGUAAUGUGUAAAGAAGCACCGGCUAACUACGUG
rnacentral:rRNA from 1 species